rnacentral:sRNA from 1 species
AAUACCUAAAACAACAAAAGCCCUGCCUCUCUUUUGUCCUAACGGUUCCUUGACCGUGCCAGUGUGAAUCAGGCUUUAUUAAAAUUC